CUCCUCUCAGGGUCGCAUCUGGAGAGUUUCCAGUCCUCUACCAGUCUCAACUACAGGAGGGAGAGUCAAGCAGAGGCCUGUCCAUUCCAUUCCUAGCUUGGCCGGUGGCUAGCGAGUGGAAGGCCAUCUGCUACCAGU